rnacentral:rRNA from 1 species
GAUGAACGCUGGCGGCGUGCCUAAUACAUGCGAGUCGAGCGAACGGACGAGAAGCUUGCUUCUCUGAUGUUAGCGGCGGACGGGUGAGUAACACGUGGAUAACCUACCUAUAAGACUGGGAUAACUUCGGGAAACCGGAGCUAAUACCGGAUAAUAUUUUGAACCGCAUGGUUAAAAAGUGAAAGACGGUCUUGCUGUCACUUAUAGAUGGAUCCGCGCUGCAUUAGCUAGUUGGUAAGGUAACGGCUUACCAAGGCAACGAUGCAUAGCCGACCUGAGAGGGUGAUCGGCCACACUGGAACUGAGACACGGUCCAGACUCCUACGGGAGGCAGCAGUAGGGAAUCUUCCGCAAUGGGCGAAAGCCUGACGGAGCAACGCCGCGUGAGUGAUGAAGGUCUUCGGAUCGUAAAACUCUGUUAUUAGGGAAGAACAUAUGUGUAAGUAUCUGUGCUCAUCUUGACGGUACCUAAUCAGAAAGCCACGGCCAACUACGUG